rnacentral:lncRNA from 1 species
AUUGGCUGUAGCAAUAAAAAGGACUUGGGACAGAUCAAAGGCUACAUUUAAGUAGUGAUCAGUGAAACUGUGGUUUUGCUCCGGAUCCAAGACCUCUAGUAAGGCUGCUGCAGGAUCUCCCUGCAAGCUCUUCCCCAGUUUAUCAACCUCAUCUAAAAGAAACACUGGAUUAUUAACCCCAACAGUCUUCAGUCCAUUGAUUAUUCUGCCAGGCAUACUCCCAACAUAGGUGCGCCUGUGGCCUCGGAUAUCAGAUUGAUCACAGACACCUCCUAAAGCAAUCCUGUGGAAUUCUCGACCCAAAGUCUUUGCAAUUGAUCUUCCGACGCUGGUUUUGCCAACUCCUGGAGGUCCCACAAAACAAAGAAUGGGUCCCUUGAGGUUGUUUUUUAGCUGCCUGACAGCUAAGUACUCCAAAACUCUUUUCUUCAACUUCUCCAUAGCAUAAUGAUCAUUAUCCAGAAGAAUUCGAGCUGCACGAAUUUCAAGGCGAUCUUUUGUACUCUUGUUCCAUGGCAAUUCUACCAUAAGUUCCAAAUAAUUUCUUGUUAAAGCAUAUUCUGGCAUCGACUGAGGCAUCUUCUUUAAUCUCUUUAUUUCCUUAAGACACACUUUAAGAGCUUGCUCUGACAUACUGGAAGUUCUAAUCUUCUUCUCAAGCAUGACAACAUCAUCAUGAUCUUCCUCCUCCUCCUCAUCUUCUGCAGUGCUUGGAAUAUGAUUGAUCCUUCUAUUAGGACGAAUAGCUACAACCCUUUUAUCAUCAUCCUGUUUGGGCUUUCUUGUUUUCUGAAGAAGCUUCAGUCCUUCAAUUUGUCUAACAAGCAAUGGUAUAGUCAUCUUGAACCUUUCCUCCAGCCUAACAGCAUCUAGAAUCUAAGAGCAAGGAGUUAUGAGAAGCCGACAAAUUCACAUUAAUGGAUCAU